rnacentral:rRNA from 1 species
UGGGGAAUUUUCCGCAAUGGGCGAAAGCCUGACGGAGCAAUACCGCGUGAGGGAGGAAGGCUCUUGGGUUGUAAACCUCUUUUCUCAGGGAAGAAAAAAAUGACGGUACCUGAGGAAUAAGCAUCGGCUAACUCCGUGCCAGCAGCCGCGGUAAUACGGAGGAUGCAAGCGUUAUCCGGAAUGAUUGGGCGUAAAGGGUCCGCAGGUGGCAUUGUAAGUCUGCUGUUAAAGAGUCUAGCUCAACUAGAUAAAAGCAGUGGAAACUACAAAGCUAGAGUUUGGUCGGGGCAGAAGGAAUUCCUGGUGUAGCGGUGAAAUGCGUAGAUAUCAGGAAGAACACCAGUGGCGAAGGCGUUCUGCUAGGCCGAGACUGACACUGAGGGACGAAAGCUAGGGGAGC